rnacentral:rRNA from 1 species
UACAGAGGUCUCAAGCGUUGUUCGGAUUCAUUGGGCGUAAAGGGUGCGUAGGCGGGUCCUUAAGUCAGGGGUGAAAUCCUGGAGCUCAACUCCAGAACUGCCUUUGAUACUGAGGAUCUUGAGUUCGGGAGAGGUGAGUGGAACUGCGAGUGUAGAGGUGAAAUUCGUAGAUAUUCGCAAGAACACCAGUGGCGAAGGCGGCUCACUGGCCCGAUACUGACGCUGAGGCACGAAAGCGUGGGGAGCAAACAGG